GUGGGUUCUAAUCCUGGGUAUGACACCUGUAAAAUUUGUAUCUAUAAUGAAGUUGGUGUGACUUGUAAGGUGCAGGGACCAGUGGGGGAGCCACCCGCAGAAGGGAUAGUGGUGGCUGUCAAUUAACUUAAUUGAAUGGUGUUGCAGAAUGGGAGGAGAGGUGCCCCCACUACAGAGCAGGAGCCCGGCGGCAGCUGACUCCAUUUCCUCCCACAGUUACGCCUCUGUCUUGUUUCCACAUGGGAGGUAUGGCUUUUCGGUUUCAAUUCUUCCAUGAAGACCUUUUUUGGCAAGACUUCUCCAAACAGUAGAUGGGUGUACCUGGGUCCCACUGGUUUCUGCCAGUUCUGAGCUGACGGCUCUGCUGGACAUCUUCCGAUUUUGAAGUUGUAUUUAACUGUCAAGAAGUAACCCUGGCGGAGAGAAUCCCCUGCGGUGGUGCAGACUUCACCUUCGAUAAAUGUAAAUCUUUGGGCUGCUGCUAUCUAUCAAAUUACCCCGGUGUCCCUUUGUGUUACACCAAAUUAAUAAGGCAACCUGUAGUGGUGAUCCCAACGCCACCACCACAGAAAAGUGAGGACGAAAAACUGAAAGAGUUGUGCAUAGAAUGUGAAAGAAAAAGAAGUAAGGGUAUCCUGGGUUUUGUUUCUACUAUUCUAUUUGGAAAUAAAUAUCCGGAAUGCAAUAUAUGCCCCAGUCGUGGACUUCUGAAACGGGGAAAUAUUAUCUCAUAUCCCGGCGAGGAACAGUCAUCUUCUCAUAAAUGGAAGAACUGAAGACUCCUACAGAGAAACCAAUAUAAGCGAUGUGUGUAGGUGUAGCGCACAUUACUCUAUGGGGGUAAUUCCAAGUUGAUCGCAGCAGGAAA